GAAACCAAAUAAAUCCCUUGGGUCACAGCACAGGCGCAUAGCUCAUGGCCAUGGCGAUGGCGGAGGCGGGAGACGGUGGAUUUGAGGGAAGUUCCUAUCAGAUCCGGUGGAUAGGUUUCCCCUGCCGGAUCUUGCCGGCGGCGAGUCCAUACUGGGCAACAAACCCACUCAAACUCUAGUCUGCACGCCCGCUGAGUCCAGCAUCGGUGAUGCGGGUGAUGCAGCGCUGACAGUACAACUAGAUGUAAACAGUACUUGCGAGGAUGCGAUCCUGUCGGCGCCGAAAUCAGAGCAAUCAACUGGCAAAGACGAUCCUCAGAAGCCUGGAUUGACCAGGAGACAUGGCAUGUAUUCAUGGAGUAGUAUUUAGGGACUCUAUCCAUUACUUAGGGACGCUGUCUACAUAACAUAUUGUCUGUCAUAUGCUUGCAACAACAGGUAAACGAACUGAAACAUUUGCUCUUUUUGUUCAAAUGUUCACAGGGGGUCCCAAAAAAAAGUAACACACGUUCCUACCGUUGCAAGUGUCCCAUAAUGAUAUAGUUACUCUGAUCAAAUGACAACGGCUGGUACAUAAGUGAGCACAGGCCAUCACACAAUCACUCACUGACAGACUACUGUAUUGAUUUUCCAUUCUUGUUAGCACACUCUUUGUGAUGUCCUCUCUUUUUCAGUAUACUAGUUCAAUAAAAUGAAUGUUGAGCUGCAUUUGCAGAUCAGUGCAGGGCGAUGGAAGUAGCAAUAGAGAAAGUGAUGCCAGACACGACUCACCGUUGAUGCUAGUGGCACGUGCAAUUGGUCAUUUCAUGGGGCUAAAAGCUCCAGAACGAAAACAAAAGCUUGGUCGACCAAUCACCAGCAAGAGAGUUAUUUGCCCAAAACCACCACAUUAUGAGCUAGGGUAACAGAUCAGUACCACAUUUGAGGCAGGGCACAAAAAACCACCAACAAUGAGGCUAAUGUAUAACGCGGAGCACUGACGCUGCGUUUUAGCCCAGAAAACAGCGAAUCCGACAGGUGGGUAAACAAACUCGCUGAAAAUGCACAAGCUGAAAAUGGAUGCAGGACAAGUAAACAAACUCGCUUCUCCAGUAUAUGUCGAGAACCAGGGCACAAGAGCACCACAUGUCCACAAAGAGGUGAUCUUCCUCAAAAAGAAAGGAAAGACGCAAAAUACUCAAAACUGUGGCGUCGGUGGUCAUAGAAAAAAACACCUGCAGCAAGCCUAGGGUUUUACUCCAUGUUGAAAAUGCUACCUUAGAGCCAAAUGCAAUUUGCGGGUGACUUCAUUUAGAUUCAGUGUUUUUGUUCUGUGUUGUUGAGGGCUUUGUAGCCAUUAACUUUAACCGCGAGACUCUCUGUUGUAAUAAUAACCGUCAGUGAAGAAGUACUACGUGUUGUUUGUGGUCAGGUUGUCACUGUGGUUUGAAUGUUUAUCAUGUAGAAGAAAAAAUGUAUGAGAUUAAGACUUGCCUAAUGUUGCAGUGUGCCUAUGCAUGCCCCCUUCUGUAUUUCACUGCGUUCUUGUUUGAGAAAUCAAUCUGGUCUGGUGCCUUGUGUGAGGGGAGAUUCAGUUUAUUUUAUCUGUUCCCCACUUACAAAUU